UAAUGGACACUAAUAACCACCCAAACCUAUCUAAGAUACAUAUGGGAGUUUUACAUUUUAUUUUUAUUCCUACAGAAAAGAAGAAAGAAAGACGUAUCAAAAAAGCCUGUUUCCCGUUUGCUGGAGUACUGCAAAAAACAUUAACAAAAUAAUUUCAAGGAUACAACUGCUGUGAAUUCAAAAGGCAUAAACUACUGAAAAAGAAUAACCCGAAGAUAACUUCAAGCAAACUACCCAUAAACAGAAAACCUGUUAUAUAAAUUGAGGUCUAUUUUUGUAAUAGAUCAAAAUACUGUGUUGGUCAAAAUAAAUAGGUAAGA